UAUUUUUGUGAUGAGAAAGUAGCAUAAUGCAGGCUUCCAAACGUUGCAGUUUUUGAUUUUCAUUGAGUUCACGUGGAAACCACCUAUCCAACUUUCUCACUUUACCGAUUUGAACUAGGUGAGUCAAUAUUUUUUGCUUGCUAACACCAAACAACAACCAUAAUUCACAGGCACUUUGAGAGGGAAAGAACGGAAGA